GAUGAACGCUGGCGGCGUGCCUAAUACAUGCAAGUCGAGCGAACGGACGAGAAGCUUGCUCUUCUGCUGUUAGCGGCGGACGGGUGAGUAACACGUAGAUCACCUACCUCUAAGACUGGGAUAACAUCGGGAAACAGGAGCUACUACCGGAUAAUAUUUUGAACCGCAUGGUUCAAAAGUGAAUGACGGUCUUGCUGUCACUUAUAGAUGGAUCCGCGCUGCAUUAGCUAGUUGGUAAGGUAACGGCUUACCAAGGCAACGAUGCAUAGCCGACCUGAGAGGGUGAUCGGCCACACUGGAACUGAGACACGGUCCAGACUCCUACGGGAGGCAGCAGUAGGGAAUCUUCCGCAAUGGGCGAAAGCCUGACGGAGCAACGCCGCGUGAGUGAUGAAGGUCUUCGGAUCGUAAAGCCCUGUUAUUAGGGAAGAACAGAUGUGUAAGUAACUGUGCACAUCUUGACGGUACCUAAACAGAAAGCCACGGCUAACUUCGUG
rnacentral:rRNA from 1 species